rnacentral:lncRNA from 1 species
GCUGUGGGGCGGGCUGGGGUGUGCCGGGGCUGGAGCUCCCCGUGGACACAGCGCCUGCAGGCACCACUGGUGACUGGGAGCCCGGGGAUGGGCUCUGCCCGUUGGCCGCCAGUGGGGACGCAUGGCCACGGCUGCGAGCCUCCAUCAUCUCCAGGAAGCUGAAAGGCAGAAGGCGGGUGAGAAGCCUGGCUCCCCUGCCUCUCCCUGAGGCCCUCAGGUGACAGGGGGCUCUCUGCUGCUGCUGCUGGGGCUGGGAAGAGCCACUGUGUUCUGGGCCACCCGCCCCACAGAGGCCAUCAUCCCCAUCCACUUCCAAGGGCAGCAGUGCCAGCCAGGCACGGUGGCUCAUGCCUGUAAUCCCAGCACUGUAGGAGGCCAAGGCAGGCAGAUCACGAGGUCAGGAGGUGGAGACCGUCCUGGCUAACGCAGUGAAACCCCGUCUCUACUAAAAAUACAAAAAAAAUUAGCCGGGUGUGGUGGCGGGUGCCUGUAGCCCCAGCUACUUGGGAGGCUGAGGCAGGAGAAUGGCGUGAACCCGGGAGGCGGAGCUUGCGGUGAGCCGAGAUCACACCACUGCGCUCCAGCCUGGGCGACAGAGCGAGACUCCAUCUCAGAAAAAGAAAGAGCAGCAGUGCCAAAGGGUGGGGACAGCAGGCACCAGCGUACAUGUGUCCAGCUCCCCUGAAAGUCACUUCGGAUCUGUUCUGAGGCACAGCUGUUGGGGGCUCCAUGCAGAGGUGGCCAGAUGGCAGCAACUGGACCUUCCCGUGAGCGGGGGUUUCUGGGAAGAGGAGGGGGCUGGGGCUUGGUGGAGCACGUGCGGCCAUCGCAGCAUCCAGCUGACCCAACUCUCAGGCCCAGGAAAUGCCAGGAUUGGUUCAACAGAGAAGCGCCCAUGCGGGGGGCUCCAUUCUGGGGCUGGCCUGGCAGCUGGAAGCCACGGGUCCCUCUCCAGGCAUCAAACUGCCUUCCCUCUCGGUCUCUUGCUGUGUCUGAGCCAACAGCCAGAUCCAAGGUGACCCACAGGGCUCUCCUUCUGGAAACAGAGACCUCCUGGGGGGCCUCAGGAGGGCCACUGAUUCCGUGGUCCCUGCCUGGGUCCCAGGGGAGGCACCAAGCCCCUAGCUGUACAGGAGCCUGAGGCAGAGAACGGGCCAGCUGUCCCACUGGCCGCAACCCCGGGGCUAUGCACUGCCCAGGCCCACUCAGGAGGAUGCUCUGAGCCGCCCUCUGCUAUCGAGGACCAGAGACCUCCAUGUCCUGGCCUGUAUGCCUCUUCAACACAGGGAGCUUCCCAAAGUCAAGCAGCUCCCCAGAAAGCACACCCCAUGCUGGCAUCAAUCUGGGAGGCCAAGCCCCUGAUGGGCAGGCAGCCCCAGCAGCACUCCAUGAGCACCAGCACCUGGCCACGGUCAGCGGUACUCAGAGUGGCAGGCACAGCAUGACCUGUAUGAGGAGUCCACGCCAGGGGUGACUGUGGGGGGGCUGCUGGGGGCAGUGCAAACCUGAGUCCUCCUCCACCCGUGCCCAAAGGUGACUAAUUUACCCCAAACAGGGGACACUCCCCUCUGCUGUCUCCUUGGUGCAGCCCAUGGCCCUGCACCACGGCCACGCCCGCAGCCCCCACACCGCCCGCACGGGCGGGUCCGGCCACAUACAUGCCGUAGUUCUGGUCCUCCGUCUCCUGCUGCACCGACAGCUCCUCCAGCGUGGCGUCCAUGUCCAGCUGGUUCGUCUCCAGCUGCCGCAACAGCGUCUCCCUCUGCAGAAAGGGAGCACGCAGGCCUGAGCAGGGCUCCUUCCUGCUGCGAGUGCCCCAGCCCCACAGCCCCUGAAUGCACAGGGGACGCCUCCUGCUGCCAAAACCAGGAGAUGCUGCAGGGCUGGCUGCUCAGCAACUCAUGGAGCUCUGCGCUGGGCCCCACUUGAACCACAGAAGCCCAGAGGAUUCCUCUGCGGUGGCCGGCACGACACCUACACACUGCCAGCAUGGCUUGGGGGACAGCUGUCAGUCACAGGCAUAAACCUCAACAGCAAGCACCCCCACCCACACACGCACCUCUAAGAGUGAAGAAGCCGCACCUUCACCUGGGAAACAAAGCCCCUCUGCUCCCCGCCACGCACACCUCCUCUGGUGGCAGGACACAUCCCCGGUGCACGCGUCGCCACCGUCCCACACCCACAAGCAGCUGGCUCUGGAGCAAACCACUGCCCUCCUGGCCUGGAACCCCAGGCUGGUCUGAUGAGCUGCGGGUCCCUGUGGCUGCUCACUUUAGAUUCAAAUGAAAUACAAACGCCGGAGCCUCACGAACUCCUGACCUCAGGUGAUCCAGCUGCCUCAGCAUCCAAAGUGCGAGGAUGACAGUCGGGAGCCACCGUGCCCGGCCCCUUCUCUUUUUUUAAAUAGAGAUGGGGUCUCGCUAUGUUGCCCAGACUGGUCUCUAAUUCCUGGACUCAAGUGAUCCUCCCAGCUUGGCCUCUGCUGAAAUUACAGGCCUGAGCUACUUGCCUGGCCUCUCCUUUUUUUUUUUUUGAAUCAUCUUUUUCAGAGAUUUUUUUUUUUUUUUUUUUUUUAGAACAGGGUCAUGCUAUAUUAUAUUGCCCAGGCAGAAGAUCUGGAACUCCUGGGCUCGAGCUGUCCUCCCACCUCUGCCUCCCUAACAGCUGGGAUUAUAGGCGUGAGCCACUGCGCCCAGCCUGGAGAGGUUUUUAAAAUAAAAAUGUGAGGCUGGGCGUGGUGGCUCACACCUGUAAUCCCAGCACUUUGGGGGGGCCAAGGCGGGCAGAUCACGAGGUCAAGAGAUCGAGACCGUCCUGGCCAAUAUGGCAAAACCCCGUCCCUACUAAAAAUACAAAAAUUAGCCAGGCGUGGUGGCAGGCGCCUGUAAUCCCAGCUACUUGGGAGGCUUAGGCAGGAGAAUCGCUUGAACCCAGGAGGCAGAGGUUACAGUGAGGCAAGAUUGCACCACCGUACUCCAGCCUGGACAGAGUGAGACUCCGUCUCCAAAAAAAAGAGUGUAUUAAAGUCAUUAAGGUCCCCAGGCUAUAACAACAACAAAAAAAUGUGAUUUACAAAGAGAAAUCUACAGACUUGUCAACCAAAUGUAAUGUGUGAACUCUGGAUCCUACUCUGAAUACUGACCAAAUAUCUGACGACUGGAAGAACUCUUUGGGAAUUUUAUUUUUUCAAUUUGUUAUUGUGGCUUAUUUCUCCAAGAAAAACCUUCUGUGAGUUUAACAUGCGGUAUUACAUUAGGUACUACGGUCAGG